rnacentral:lncRNA from 1 species
CCCUAUGUCUGCCAUCUCCGCACACUACUGACAAUAUUUGGACUUUUAUUUUGACAAAAUGUCGAAUGGUGACCAUAUUGAAAUUUCCGGUUGGUUCCACCGCUCAUGGUUGAACUCAGCUACCUGCUCGCAUCGGCACAACUAUACAGUAUCUGUGGACAGUUAAGUAGGUUGUCUAUUGAAUGAAGGAAAUAUGUAAAUUUGACUAAUUGGGUAAAGUCUUGCCGGUCAAACAACUUAGGAUAGCUAAGUGAACAUUAGCUACCCAUCUCUGUGUAGCUACGUCCUCAGUGUUAAGUUAAUAUGGAGCCAGAGGUUUUGACUGCUCAACGGGACGAAAUGAAGAAUGUACUGGAGGUGGUUAACGGCAGCCUUUCGGAGUCGUAUAACGUUAACUUCCAUCAUAAUGAUGUUGUGAACAGUGUUACUGAAUCACUCGACUUAAUUACACAGAGGGAGAAGAUUCAACGACAAAUUUCAGCGCUUGAAAGUUAUUUUGAUGCAGAAGUGCAUUCAGACAUGUCAGCCUGCAGUCCCACAGGUGAGUUUCAGAAGUGCAUUCAGACAUGUCAGCCUGCAGUCCCACAGGUGAGUUUCAGAAGUGCAUUCAGACAUGUCAGCCUGCAGUUCCACAGGUGAGUUUCAGAAGAUGCCCAUGCUGGAAUACUGUUGACCAGAAGGAUUCUUGCAUCCAUUGAAUUUCAACAGUAAACCCAAUUUUGUGUUUUCUGUUAUCUGGCAGAUGCUGAAUCAGAUGAUGAUGAUGAAGAUGAUGAUGAUGAUGAUGGUGGUGAUGACGCGUUGGAUGUAAGAUCAGAAAUGUAUUUUCAAGCCUACUCUGAGUUUGAUGCUGAUAGGCAGAGGUUACAAUUAGGGUGAACGAUUAAUUGCAUUUGCGAUUUAAUCGCGAUAUGAUAGAACGCGAUUUUCUAACCGCAACGUUCGUGAUAAAAAAACGUGGUCUAAAAAAAAUAAAAAUAAAAUUUAAUUUUUUUUUUUUUUUUUU